rnacentral:rRNA from 1 species
AUACGUAGGGGGCGAGCGUUGUCCGGAAUGAUUGGGCGUAAAGGGCGCGUAGGCGGCCCGGUAAGUCUGGAGUGAAAGUCCUGUUUUUAAGAUGGGAAUUGCUUUGGAUACUGUCGGGCUUGAGUGCAGGAGAGGUAAGUGGAAUUCCCAGUGUAGCGGUGAAAUGCGUAGAGAUUGGGAGGAACACCAGUGGCGAAGGCGACUUACUGGACUGUAACUGACGCUGAGGCGCGAAAGUGUGGUGAGCAAACAGGAUUAGAUUCCCUGGUAGUCCACGCCGUAAACGAUGAGUGCUAAGUGUUGGAGGGUUUCCGCCCUUCAGUGCUGCAGCUAACGCAUUAAGCACUCCGCCUGGGGAGUACGGCCGCAAGGCUGAAACUCAAAGGAAUUGACGGGG